GCGAAAGUGGUGUAAUGGUAACAUUCUUGGGUUCCACCUGAGAGAUUGAGGGUUCGAGUCCUUCCUUUCGCU
rnacentral:tRNA from 1 species